rnacentral:rRNA from 1 species
GAUGAACGCUAGCGGGAGGCUUAACACAUGCAAGUCGAGGGGCAUCACGAGGUAGCAAUACUUUGGUGGCGACCGGCGCACGGGUGAGUAACACGUAUGCAACCUUCCCUGUACAGGGGGAUAACCCGGAGAAAUUCGGACUAAUACCCCAUGAUGAUAUUAUGGGGCAUCCUUUAAUAUUUAAAGCUCUGGCGGUACAGGAUGGGCAUGCGCGACAUUAGCUAGUUGGUAAGGUAACGGCUUACCAAGGCGACGAUGUUUAGGGGACCUGAGAGGGUUGUCCCCCACACUGGUACUGAGACACGGACCAGACUCCUACGGGAGGCAGCAGUGAGGAAUAUUGGUCAAUGGGCGCAAGCCUGAACCAGCCAUCCCGCGUGCAGGAAGACGGCCCUAUGGGUUGUAAACUGCUUUUCCAGGGAGAGAAACUUACGCACGUGUUGCGUGACUGACGGUACCCUGGGAAUAAGCAUCGGCUAACUCCGUG